ACGAGCUCUCCGCCGUUCAAAAAUUUGAACCGAUCGUUGUGCACGAGACUCAUCGGAUCGUUCAACAGCUCGAUCCAGCUCUUCUAGAUCAGUUAAACCACGUAUGCCAGUAUUCACCCGUUCGAAAACUGUAGCAGAGCGUGGUGAAACCAGCA